rnacentral:rRNA from 1 species
GGGACACGUGGUAUCCUGUCUGAAUAUGGGGGGACCAUCCUCCAAGGCUAAAUACUCCUGACUGACCGAUAGUGAACCAGUACCGUGAGGGAAAGGCGAAAAGAACCCCGGCGAGGGGAGUGAAAAAGAACCUGAAACCGUGUACGUACAAGCAGUGGGAGCACCUUCGGGUGUGACUGCGUACCUUUUGUAUAAUGGGUCAGCGACUUAUAUUCUGUAGCAAGGUUAACCGUAUAGGGGAGCCGCAGGGAAACCGAGUCUUAACUGGGCGUUAAGUUGCAGGGUAUAGACCCGAAACCCGGUGAUCUAGCCAUGGGCAGGUUGAAGGUUGGGUAACACUAACUGGAGGACCGAACCGACUAAUGUUGAAAAAUUAGCGGAUGACUUGUGGCUGGGGGUGAAAGGCCAAUCAAACCGGGAGAUAGCUGGUUCUCCCCGAAAGCUAUUUAGGUAGCGCCUCGUGAACUCAUCUUCGGGGGUAGAGCACUGUUUCGGCUAGGGGGUCAUCCCGACUUACCAACCCGAUGCAAACUACGAAUACCGAAGAAUGUUAUCACGGGAGACACACGGCGGGUGCUAACGUCCGUCGUGAAGAGGGAAACAACCCAGACCGCCAGCUAAGGUCCCAAAGUCAUGGUUAAGUGGGAAACGAUGUGGGAAGGCACAGACAGCCAGGAUGUUGGCUUAGAAGCAGCCAUCAUUUAAAGAAAGCGUAAUAGCUCACUGGUCGAGUCGGCCUGCGCGGAAGAUGUAACGGGGCUAAACCAUGCACCGAAGCUGCGGCAGCGACACUAUGUGUUGUUGGGUAGGGGAGCGUUCUGUAAGCCUGCGAAGGUGACCUGUGAGGGUUGCUGGAGGUAUCAGAAGUGC